rnacentral:rRNA from 1 species
UACGGGGGGGGCAAGCGUUGUUCGGAAUUACUGGGCGUAAAGGGCUCGUAGGUGGCCAACUAAGUCAGACGUGAAAUCCCUCGGCUUAACCGGGGAACUGCGUCUGAUACUGGAUGGCUAGAGAUUGGGAGAGGGAUGCGGAAUUCCAGGUGUAGCGGUGAAAUGCGUAGAUAUCUGGAGGAAUACCGGUGGCGAAGGCGGCAUCCUGGACCGACAUUGACGCUGAUGAGCGAAAGCUAGGGGAGCAAACGGG